AAUGUCCUAGGCCUUCACAUUCACUCACCACUCACUGAAUGACUCACCCACAGCAAAUUCUAGUCCUGCAAGCUCCAUUCAUGUUAAGUGGCCUAUAUAGGUGUACCAUUUUUUAAUCCUUUAUGCCACAUUUUUACUGUACCUUUUCUAUGUUUAGAUACACAAAUACCAUUGUGUUACAACUGCCUACGGUAUCCAGUACGGUGCUGCUCAGCCUUGAAGGAGAGCCUGCCAGCCUCUCAGGUUGGCUUUGCAAGGGGGAUCACCACAGGUAAGACAGACCUGGCCCUAAGGCUCAAACCACCCUAUUUGCAAAAAGUCAGUGAUAUUAGCUAACCUGAUUUUUAAAGUGUCUUCUAUCUUCCCAUGGCACGUUCUGCUCUUUUACAUUGCUACUAUUAUUUUUUAAAUUAGAGAUGUGGUCUUGCCAUGUGUCUGCCCAGGCUGGUCUUGAACUCCUGGGUUCAAGUGAUCCUGCCACCUCAGCCUCCCAAGUAGCUGAGACUACAGGCAUCCAGCACUCCACCCAGCUUCUUUUACAUAGUUUUUAAAUGGUUGCAAAGUCCUAUAUUAUAUAUAUGUACUGUGAUGAAUUUUGUUCUUAACUGAUUCCCUAUUGUUGGACAUUUAUGUAACUUCCAAGCUGUUAUUAACCAGCAUGCC
rnacentral:lncRNA from 1 species